rnacentral:rRNA from 1 species
CCUACGGGAGGCAGCAGUCGGGAAUAUUGCACAAUGGAGGAAACCCUGAUGCAGCAACGCCGCGUGCAUGAAGAAGUUUUUCGGAUUGUAAACUUCUUUCGGCAGGGAAGAAGAAAGACAGUACCUGUAGAAUAAGCCCCGGCUAACUACGUGCCAGCAGCCGCGGUAAUACGUAGGGAGCAAGCGUUAUCCGGAUUUAUUGGGUGUACAGGGUGCGUAGACGGAGAAGCAAGUCAGGUGUGAAAGCCCUCGGCGUAACCGAGGAACUGCAAUUAAAACUACUUCGCUUGAGUACUGGAGAGGAAAGUGGAAUUCCUAGUGUAGCGGUGAAAUGCGUAGAUAUUAGGAGGAACACCAGUGGCGAAGGCGACUUUCUGGACAGCAACUGACGUUGAGGCACGAAAGCGUGGGGAGCAAACAGGAUUAGAUACCCCUGUAGUC